rnacentral:rRNA from 1 species
UACGUAGGGUGCAAGCGUUAAUCGGAAUUACUGGGCGUAAAGCGUGCGCAGGCGGUUAUGUAAGACAGGUGUGAAAUCCCCGGGCUUAACCUGGGAACUGCAUUUGUGACUGCAUAGCUAGAGUACGGUAGAGGGGGAUGGAAUUCCGCGUGUAGCAGUGAAAUGCGUAGAUAUGCGGAGGAACACCGAUGGCGAAGGCAAUCCCCUGGACCUGUACUGACGCUCAUGCACGAAAGCCAGGGGAGCGAACGGG